GGGGAAUAUUGGACAAUGGGCGAAAGCCUGAUCCAGCAAUACCGCGUGAAUGAUGAAGGCCUUAGGGUUGUAAAGUUCUUUUAGUAGGGAAGAUAAUGACGGUACCUACAGAAAAAGCCCCGGCUAACUCCGUGCCAGCAGCCGCGGUAAGACGGAGGGGGCUAGCGUUGUUCGGAAUUACUGGGCGUAAAGGGCGCGUAGGCGGAUUAGUAAGUUGGAAGUGAAAGCCCGGGGCUUAACCUCGGAACUGCUUUCAAAACUGCUAGUCUAGAGUGAAGUAGGGGAUGAUGGAAUUCCUAGUGUAGAGGUGAAAUUCUUAGAUAUUAGGAGGAACACCGGUGGCGAAGGCGGUCAUCUGGACUUCAACUGACGCUGAGGCGCGAAAGCGUGGGGAGCAAAC
rnacentral:rRNA from 1 species